AAAACUCUCUCUCCCUCCACACACUCCAACGGUAAUAAAAUGGGAAAAAGAAGUUAGAUGUCAGCUAGCUCUAUUUACUCUCUCUUGGCCAACGGUAACAAAAAAAAACACACACACGUGAUCCCUAUCUCUUACCUAGCCUAUUUUCUCUCUCUGGGUGAAAUAAAAAAAAUCGAAAAAAGAAACGAAGACUUGGUCUUCUUUCCCGCAACACCAAUACAAUCCUCCACAAUCCUUCAUCUGCCGACGCAACUCACACCGUUCAUCUUCUUCACGUCAAC
rnacentral:lncRNA from 1 species